CAUGCAGUCGAGCGACAGAUAAGGAGCUUGCUCCUUUGACGUUAGCGGCGGACGGGUGAGUAACACGUGGGUAACCUACCUAUAAGACUGGAAUAACUCCGGGAAACCGGGGCUAAUGCCGGAUAACAUUUAGAACCGCAUGGUUCUAAAGUGAAAGAUGGUUUUGCUAUCACUUAUAGAUGGACCCGCGCCGUAUUAGCUAGUUGGUAAGGUAAUGGCUUACCAAGGCAACGAUACGUAGCCGACCUGAGAGGGUGAUCGGCCACACUGGAACUGAGACACGGUCCAGACUCCUACGGGAGGCAGCAGUAGGGAAUCUUCCGCAAUGGGCGAAAGCCUGACGGAGCAACGCCGCGUGAGUGAUGAAGGGUUUCGGCUCGUAAAACUCUGUUAUUAGGGAAGAACAAACGUGUAAGUAACUGUGCACGUCUUGACGGUACCUAAUCAGAAAGCCACGGCUAACUACGUGCCAGCAGCCGCGGUAAUACGUAGGUGGCAAGCGUUAUCCGGAAUUAUUGGGCGUAAAGCGCGCGUAGGCGGUUUCUUAAGUCUGAUGUGAAAGCCCACGGCUCAACCGUGGAGGGUCAUUGGAAACUGGGAGACUUGAGUGCAGAAGAGGAAAGUGGAAUUCCAUGUGUAGCGGUGAAAUGCGCAGAGAUAUGGAGGAACACCAGUGGCGAAGGCGACUUUCUGGUCUGUAACUGACGCUGAUGUGCGAAAGCGUGGGGGAUCAAACAGGAUUAGAUACCCUGGUAGUCCACGCCGUAAACGAUGAGUGCUAAGUGUUAGGGGGUUUCCGCCCCUUAGUGCUGCAGCUAACGCAUUAAGCACUCCGCCUGGGGAGUACGACCGCAAGGUUGAAACUCAAGGAAUUGACGGGGACCCGCACAAGCGGUGGAGCAUG
rnacentral:rRNA from 1 species